UUAAAAAGAAUCCCAGAGUAGAAAUAAACAUAUACUGUCUAGAGGAGGUUGAAGAUGAGGAAGAAGCCAAAAGUGCAAAAUUAAAAGAAAAGGAAAUAUUCAACUUGGGAUAGAGGGAUCAUUUUAUCCAUUCACCCCUUUUCUCCAAAAGCUCAAAUUGUGUGAGUCAGCCUACUCUCUCCUGCUCCUGGACCAAAUUCAAUACUUCAUUGCCCUUAAAAUUCUGUGGAUGGAGGGAUUAUAUGAGAUGUUAGCUUUGCCAGGGUGGUUAGGCAAUCUUUCCUCUCUUCAAAAGCUGUAUAUUAUGGAUUGCAAUCGCUUGCUGCAUCUGCCCACUGAGGAAGCCAUGCGACGCCUCGCCCAAUUGAAAACGCUGGAGAUUUAUGAUUGCCCCAAUUUGGAAGACAAUGAGCAGUCCAAGAUUGACCAUAUUCCAUUUGUUGACAUACAGGAUAGCGGGCAGCCAGAUUGGUCUGAUUUCGAAGACGAAGACUAAAUCAGGAAGCUGGCAAGAAGUUUGCAUUUGGGAAAAUAAUUGAGUUGAUGACAACUGUUGCCAAGGCACUUCAGCUAACAAGAAGAUUGCGUCUCAGAAAAUAGCGAACUUGAUGACAACUGAUACCAAGACACUUUAGGUUUGC